CGCGGGGAGGAGUAACGGUUGCUCGACAGCCCCAUAAGCUGUAGGUAGCGGGUUCAAUUCCCGCCCCCGCAACAA
rnacentral:tRNA from 1 species